AGAGGGUUAGUUUAGAGAAAAUUACUGGUUGUCAACCAGUGGAGACUGUUGAUUAGUACCUUCUU
rnacentral:tRNA from 1 species